GACGAACGCUGGCGGCGUGCCUAAUACAUGCAAGUCGAACGCACAGUUUAUACCGUAGCUUGCUACACCAUAGACUGUGAGUUGCGAACGGGUGAGUAACGCGUAGGUAACCUGCCUGGUAGCGGGGGAUAACUAUUGGAAACGAUAGCUAAUACCGCACAAUAUUAAUUAUUGCAUGGUAAUUAAUUGAAAGGUGCAAUUGCACCACUACCAGAUGGACCUGCGUUGUAUUAGCUAGUAGGUGAGGUAACGGCUCACCUAGGCGACGAUACAUAGCCGACCUGAGAGGGUGAUCGGCCACACUGGGACUGAGACACGGCCCAGACUCCUACGGGAGGCAGCAGUAGGGAAUCUUCGGCAAUGGACGAAAGUCUGACCGAGCAACGCCGCGUGAGUGAAGAAGGUUUUCGGAUCGUAAAGCUCUGUUGUAAGAGAAGAACGGGUGUGAGAGUGGAAAGUUCACACUGUGACGGUAUCUUACCAGAAAGGGACGGCUAACUACGUG
rnacentral:rRNA from 1 species